GGACGAACGCUGGCGGCGUGCUUAACACAUGCAAGUCGAACGAUGAACCACUUCGGUGGGGAUUAGUGGCGAACGGGUGAGUAACACGUGGGCAAUCUGCCCUGCACUCUGGGACAAGCCCUGGAAACGGGGUCUAAUACCGGAUACAACCACUGACCGCAUGGUCGGGUGGUGGAAAGCUCCGGCGGUGCAGGAUGAGCCCGCGGCCUAUCAGCUUGUUGGUGAGGUAAUGGCUCACCAAGGCGACGACGGGUAGCCGGCCUGAGAGGGCGACCGGCCACACUGGGACUGAGACACGGCCCAGACUCCUACGGGAGGCAGCAGUGGGGAAUAUUGCACAAUGGGCGAAAGCCUGAUGCAGCGACGCCGCGUGAGGGAUGACGGCCUUCGGGUUGUAAACCUCUUCAG
rnacentral:rRNA from 1 species